CGGAACGUGAACUAGUUUUGGUCUAAUAAUCAAAUAUAAAUAUUAUUGUGAAAUAAUUUCAAUGACAACAACAAAGCAAAGUUGUGAUAUUUAAUUUUGUAGGUUAUUAUGUGCAUAUGUAGGGGUGCGAGGAUUUAGAUACAAGGGGAAUUUGUAAAGUUCAUGACAGUUGGGGUGUAUUUGGAGGAAAGUGGAAUUUCAGUGUUGGCAAGUAAGUGGAGGGUAAAGGCACGAUGAGUUGGUGAAUUCUGUUGGAUUUUUGCGGGAUAUUGCUACAGGUAUCUCUAAUAAAUCUCAAUUACCGUCAAACUUAUAUUUCACUCGUUUAAUAAUUGCUGCUUUUUUUUCUUUUUCUUUUUUUCCUGUGAGAUCUUCUAUCUACAAGUUCUUUAUGUUAAUUUUUUUUUAGAUAUUUUAGUAAUUAAAUACGAUUGUACUGCUAAAUUUUCACUUAAUUUUGUAAUAAUCUAACGAUUGGACACUCACAGCUUCUUUCCUAGAAUUUUAUGCCUAACUAUGUAAAAAUACUUUACCAAUUCUGACAAUAUUCUUGGAGCACUUGUGGUUGCCGCCAUAUACACUACUUAUAGUUAGUAGCUAUUUAGGGCCUAUUCUCUCCAGCUUAUUUUCAGUUCAGUUCAAUUCAGUUCAGUUCAGUUCAGUUUUCAGUUCAUCUAUUUAGGGCCUAUACUCUCACAUAUCACUAUUCAUUUCAGUUUAAUUCAGUUCAGUUCAGUUCAGUUGUUUUAUGCCGAAGAGAACAAGCCCUUAGUAGAUUUAUGAGUUGCACUAUUCUUGUUUUUCGGUACCUAUUUUCAGAUGCAAAUGGGUUGACAAUAAUACUGGAGUUGAACAUAUGAUCUAUGUUUUUAUAGAAUGUUCAAUUGGAGUUGAGAACUGAUUCAUUGUUUUUUGUUAUAUGUUUCAACUUGGAUGUUUGUUAAUGAAAGUGAUAAACUAUGUAUUCUACUUAUAAUUUUUUUUAUGUAGUCAAUUGUGAUGUACUUAGAGUUGUCCUAUAUUAUUUCUACAAAGCUUCUAGCAAUACAAUCUAACAAUUUGCUCAUUACGAAUCUUAUUCAUGUAAUUCAGAUUUGCGCUUCAUCAAAUAAAGCAAGAGAGAUAUUCUCAUGUACUUACAAUUGUUGAUGUCGGGCUUAUAAUUCAGACAUGUACUUAUAAUUCCGACCUGCACUUCAUCAAGUCAGUUGGUAUGUGCUUAUAGUUGUUGCUGCUGAGCUUGGGAGUACAUGUUAUAAUUGUUCAGUAGUAUCACGAUAUUGGUCGAACCUAUUCUCAGGAGAAAAUUGAUGAACUCAAGGAGUUGUGGAUUACAUAUGUCGGAGAUCAACAAGAAGCACAAAUGAUGAAUGAGUUCUAAGUUCCCGCCUAAUUUUGUUUACCUUAAUCCAUUCUUGGACGUACAUUAUAUUUUUGGAUUUGGAUAUUAAUAUCAUGUUGUUGUGGCUAGUCUAGAUUUGAUUGUUUAUGAUUUAGAUUAAUAUUGAUAUGUAUAUAUAGUAGUGUUUAGAAGUUUAGAAUUAUGAAUAUUGGUUGAAUUAUUUAGUGAAAUAAAAAUUUUUGGGAUUCAA